rnacentral:lncRNA from 1 species
CCCGGCCAUUGGUUCCGCGGUGCUGGGUGUGAGGGGCAGGGCCUUUGGGAGGUCGGAGGAUCCAGGAGACCAGGUGGAGGCUCCCAUUGCUGUGGCCCCCGUGGUAAGGGGAGCGGAAGCCGGGGGCUGAGGCAGUCCCGCCUGCCGACCCCAGGGCAGGGACUGCCUCUCCUUGGAGAGCGGCCGUCCGGGUGGCCCUGCACCUGCCCUGUGCUUUCCUCACCUGCCGGCCGCGUGCCCGGCCCUGUCCUUCAGCGGCCUCUAGUGUCUGCCCCCGUGCUCGCCUCCACGGGGAGCAAACGAGAGGCCCCCUCGGGCCUGCUCCCAGCCUGGGCUCCCGCUGCCUGACCUGGGGCUGAUGUGCGCUUAUCCCGCUGAGGGAGGAGGGGUGACCCUUCCCCUGCUGGGUGGGAAGAGGCAAGCUCCAAAGGGAAGUGGCCAGGCAGCCAGGACAGAGCUCAGGGACUGGGCGGUGACAAACCAGCGACCACAGGCCCCACACAUUCCACCUGGAGCUUCUGAGGGUGGAGAUGCCAGAGGACCGUCUCUGCUGACCACGGGACGGCUGUCCACUCGGGCGGGAACAUCUGCUGCCUACAAAGCUCAGCCUGGGCUCCCGAUCUGGGUCAGGUCUUCAGAGGUCGCAGGGGCUGGGGAGGAGCUGGGGGAGGCAGGGGCUGGGCCGGGUGCGUGGUGGAAGCGCAGGGGCAGCUCUCUGGCUGUUCUAAGGGUCAGGGACAGCCCGGUCCAAGUUCAUCCUUUCUCUGUCGUUUUAGAAAUGUUCUCACUUCUGGACAAGGACCAGAAUGGCAAUGUCCAUCUCUCCCUGGCUGAGUGGCUGUGCUGCGUGCUGGUGUGA